AGCAACACUAGUAAGUACAGCGGCAGAUUGAAGAAGGGCAGCAGCAUGGUGGUGAGAAAUCUGAAAAUAAACAUAAAGAUGCCGGAAAGGAUUACAGAGGAGAACUGAAUGAUCUCCAAGACUAAAGAUGGAAGUAACCAAGCAAGACAUGAGAGACUUCCAAGGAAGAUUCUGACAACCAGCUGCCAAGUUGCUGGUACAGCACUUAGUAAAGAAAAUUGAGCAGUGCACAACUGAUGUGCUCAUUAUCAAAGUCUAAGAGGCACAUUUAUUUGUUUGUUCACUGAUUGAGUCAUUCAACUAGCAUUGGCUGAGUGCCUAUAGUGUGCUAGGCACUGGGGGCUCAACAGUAAAUAAAGGAAAUGGAAUUUACA